rnacentral:rRNA from 1 species
UACGUAGGGUGCAAGCGUUAAUCGGAAUUACUGGGCGUAAAGCGUGCGCAGGCGGUUAUUUAAGACAGAUGUGAAAUGCCCGGGCUUAACCUGGGAACUGCAUUUGUGACUGCAUGGCUAGAAUCUGGCAGAGGGGGGUAGAAUUCCACGUGUAGCAGUGAAAUGCGUAGAUAUGUGGAGGAAUACCGAUGGCGAAGGCAGCCCCCUGGGCUAAGAUUGACGCUCAUGCACGAAAGCGUGGGGAGCAAACAGG